rnacentral:rRNA from 1 species
AGGGAAUAUUGGGCAAUGGACGCAAGUCUGACCCAGCCAUUCCGCGUGCAGGAUGAAGGCCCUAUGGGUUGUAAACUGCUUUUGUCAGAGAAAAAACCCUCAUACGUGUAUGAGGCUAAUGGUAUCUGGCGAAUAAGCAUCGGCUAACUCCGUGCCAGCAGCCGCGGUAAUACGGAGGAUGCAAGCGUUGUCCGGAUUUAUUGGGUUUAAAGGGUGCGUAGGCGGAUAAUUAAGUCAGUGGUGAAAGUUUGCGGCUCAACCGUAAAAUUGCCAUUGAAACUGAUUGUCUUGAGUACAGUUGAGGUGGGCGGAAUGUAUCAUGUAGCGGUGAAAUGCUUAGAUAUGAUACAGAACACCUAUUGCGAAAGCAGCUCGCUAAACUGUAACUGACGCUGAGGCACGAAAGCGUGGGGAUCAAAC